GAGCGAUAAGAGUAAACCUGUCCAAAGACAGGGACGCAAAGCUAUAGGGUCUAGGUGCUUACAGUUCAAAAGUCAGUUAUUAAC
rnacentral:ncRNA from 1 species